rnacentral:rRNA from 1 species
GUUAGGCACGACACCGGAGAGGGAGCCUGAGAAACGGCUACCACAUCCAAGGAUGGCAGCAGGCGCGCAAAUUACCCAAUCCCGAUACGGGGAGGUAGUGACAAUAAAUAACAAUACGGGGUUCUUUCGGAUUUCGUAAUUGGAAUGAGUACAAUUUAAAUCUCUUAACGAGGAACAAUUGGGAGGGCAAGUCUGGUGCCAGCAGCCGCGGUAAUUCCAGCUCCAAUAGCGUAUAUUAAAGUUGUUGCAGUUAAAAAGCUCGUAGUUGAAUUUCGGGACUAUCAUGUCGGUCGUGCCUCGGUACGUACUGGCAUUGUUGGUUUCUCCCUUCUGACGAACCAUGAUGUCAUUUAUUUGGUGUUGUGGGAAAUCAGGACUGUUACUUUGAAAAAAUUAGAGUGUUUAAAGCAGGCUCACGCUUGAAUACAUUAGCAUGGAAUAAUGAAAUAGGACGUUUGAUUCUAUUUUGUUGGUUUCUAGGAUCGACGUAAUGAUUAAUAGGGAUAGUUGGGGGCAUUAGUAUUCAAUUGUCAGAGGUGAAAUUCUUGGAUUUAUUGAAGACUAACUACUGCGAAAGCAUUUGCCAAGGAUGUUUUCAUUAAUCAAGAACGAAAGUUAGGGGGAUCGAAGACGAUCAGAUGCCGUCGUAUCUUAACCAUAAACUAUGCCGACUAGGAUCGGAUGAUGAUAAUUUUUUAAUGACUCAUUCGGCGCCUAACGGA